rnacentral:rRNA from 1 species
CACGUAGGGUGCGAGCGUUGUCCGGAAUUAUUGGGCGUAAAGAGCUCGUAGGCGGUGUGUCGCGUCGGCCGUGAAAACCUGUAGCUUAACUGUGGGCUUGCGGUCGAUACGGGCAUCACUGGAGUUCGGAAGGGGAGACUGGAAUUCCUGGUGUAGCGGUGAAAUGCGCAGAUAUCAGGAGGAACACCGGUGGCGAAGGCGGGUCGCUGGGCCGAUACUGACGCUGAGGAGCGAAAGCGUGGGGAGCGAACAGG